rnacentral:rRNA from 1 species
GGGGGAAUAUUGCACAAUGGGCGCAAGCCUGAUGCAGCCAUGCCGCGUGUAUGAAGAAGGCCUUCGGGUUGUAAAGUACUUUCAGUCGGGAGGAAGGUGGUAAGGUUAAUAACCUUAUCAAUUGACGUUACCGACAGAAGAAGCACCGGCUAACUCCGUGCCAGCAGCCGCGGUAAUACGGAGGGUGCAAGCGUUAAUCGGAAUUACUGGGCGUAAAGCGCACGCAGGCGGUUGAUUGAGUCAGAUGUGAAAUCCCCGGGCUUAACCCGGGAAUUGCAUCUGAUACUGGUCAGCUAGAGUCUUGUAGAGGGGGGUAGAAUUCCAUGUGUAGCGGUGAAAUGCGUAGAGAUGUGGAGGAAUCCCGGUGGCGAAGGCGGCCCCCUGGACAAAGACUGACGCUCAGGUGCGAAAGCGUGGGGAGCAAACAGG